CGCCACAGAGCAGUAACUCUUCCAUUGCUGCAGCCCCGUUUCACAUCCUCACCGGGGCUCUGUCCACUGAGCAGAGAGAUGGGGUCCACGCAGUCUUUCCUGACCUGAGCUUUCUCAGAGAGCGGCCAGACUCAGAACAACUACAGAGAAAUAUCAAAGGACUGCCCAAGGGCCAGUGCUUUGUCAUUGCUUAUUUCGUCAAGACAGUAAAUGACUGCAACAAAGGUCCCGUUUUAUUCUCAAGAGCAAUGCGUCAAUUCUGUGAAGUGAGUUUGCAAAAUCCAAGUUCAAUGAUGUGUGGCUGUUUCAAAGAACACUGGCUGGAUAACUGAGACCAAUUCAAAACAAUCUCACUGAAGAUCAUAAAAGUCCAUACAACGUCAAAGAGGGAGCCUAUCUCAGAUGAAAAACGUAACAGGGAAUGAGCCCGUAGAUAUCAGCUCUGGCACUAUGGAUUUCUAUUUUCAGGUUCUUUGUUCAAUAAAGAGUUUCCUUUUGAUUUUUCCUUAAUCACACGUUA